AAUCUUCCACAAUGGGCGAAAGCCUGAUGGACCCACGCCGCGUGCGUGAAGAAGGUCUGCGGAUUGUAUAACUAUGUUGUAAGGGAAGAAAAAGUACAGUAGUAACUGGCUGUACCUUAACGGUAUAUUAUUAGAAAGCCACGGCUACAUACGUGCCAGCAGCCGCGGUAAAACAUAGGUGGCAAGCGUUGUCCGGAAUUAUUGGGCGUAAAGCGGGCGGAGGCGGGCCUGUAAGGCUGAUGUGAAAGCCCCCGGCUCAACCGGGGGAGGUCAUUGGAAUCUGGGGGACUUGAGGGCAGAAGAGGAUAGAGGAAUUCCGAGUGUAGCGGUGAAAUGCGUAGAGAUUUGGAGGAACACCAGAGGCGAAGGCGACUUUAUGGUCUGUAACUGACGCUGAGGCGAGAAAGCGUGGGGAGCAAACA
rnacentral:rRNA from 1 species